UACGUAGGGAGCAAGCGUUGUUCGGAUUUACUGGGCGUAAAGGGCGCGUAGGCGGCAAUUCAAGUCAGCUGUGAAAUCUCCGGGCUUAACUCGGAACGGUCAGCUGAUACUGCUUUGCUAGAGUGCAGAAGGGGCAAUCGGAAUUCUUGGUGUAGCGGUGAAAUGCGUAGAUAUCAAGAGGAACACCUGAGGUGAAGACGGGUUGCUGGGCUGACACUGACGCUGGAGGCGCGAAAGCUAGGGUAGCAAACGGG
rnacentral:rRNA from 1 species